CAAUAGCGUAUAUUAAAGUUGUUGCAGUUAAAAGCUCGUAGUUGGAUUUCUGGUGGGAGCGAUCGGUCUGGCGCUUAGCGCGAGUACUUGCAUCGUCUCCGGCCAUCCUUGGGGAGAGUCUGUCUGGCAUUAAGUUGUCGGGCAGAGGAUCCUCAUCGUUUACUGUGAAAAAAUUAGAGUGUUCAAAGCAGGCUUAUGCCGUUGAAUAUAUUAGCAUGGAAUAAUAAGAUAGGACUUUGGUACUAUUUUGUUGGUUUGCGCACCAAAGUAAUGAUUAAUAGGGACAGUUGGGGGUAUUCGUAUUCCGUUGUCAGAGGUGAAAUUCUUGGAUUUACGGAAGACGAACUACUGCGAAAGCAUUUACCAAGGAUGUUUUCAUUAA
rnacentral:rRNA from 1 species